GCAAAAAAAGAAACGUUUUAGGCUGAAUUUCUAAACGUCAUAACUUUUGAACAAUUUGGAUUUGAGUUGGUUUGUGUUGAUUUAUGAUUAGCAAUAGAAAACAUAAUACUUCAACAAAUGUUAGUUUUUUAUACAUAAAAGUUAUGAAAAAUCUCCUAUGAAAUGGUUCAUCUAAAUCUAAUUCCCUGGAGGUUGCCUGU
rnacentral:lncRNA from 1 species